rnacentral:rRNA from 1 species
UACGGAGGGUGCGAGCGUUGUCCGGAAUCACUGGGCGUAAAGGGCGCGUAGGUGGCGCCGCAAGUCCGCGGUGAAAGCUCGACGCUUAACGUCGAGUCGGCCGUCGAGACUGCGGGGCUCGAGCACUGGAGAGGCGCAUGGAAUUCCGGGUGUAGCGGUGGAAUGCGUAGAGAUCCGGAAGAACACCGGUGGCGAAGGCGGUGAGCUGGGCAGUUGCUGACACUGAGGCGCGACAGCGUGGGGAGCAAACAGG